CCCCGGGCCUGCAGAGCCGCAACGCGCCUUCUGCUGUCGGGGAGCCUCGGGCAGGGAGCCCCGGUGCCUGACCGGCUCCUCCCCGCGCCGCGGCCCACUGAGGCGCUACGGGGCCGCCCUCCGCUGCCGGCGCUGCCUCAGUCCAUCGCUCUGGCCGCUCCCGCCAUGCGGCUCUGCUUGCUGCUCAGCCUGAUGCUGCUGCAGGAAACGCUGCUACACGUUACUGGACAGCCUGCAAAGAGUAAGCGUCCAAAAGAACCUGGGGAAAACAAAAUUAAGCCUGUUAAUAAAAAAGUAAAACCCAAACACCCCAGAAUGAAGGAAAGAGAAUCUGUUGACUCCUCUUUGAAGUCCCAGUCCAUACUGACACAGGUGAUGGAUAAAGGUCGUUUACAGAAACUAGCUGCCACUUUAAGUGUGUCUGCAGGAGAAAACUUAGAACUGCGAUGUAAGGGGAAUAAUGUCACUUGGAACUACCCUUCCUACUUAGACACCUUUAAAGACUCCAGACUCAGGAUAAAGCAACUUGACAAGUACAGUCAGCUGAUCUUGGAAAACUCCACUGCAGCAGACACAGGUGAAUAUAGCUGCUGGCUUCAGCUCUGCAACGCUAAAAAAUGCAGGAAAGAUGAGACUAAAACAGGUUCCACAUACAUCUUUUUCACAGAUAGAGAGGAACUUUUUGUACCUACUCCCAGUUAUUUUGAGAUUGUCUACCUGAACCCAGAUAAACCUGCAGUCAUCCCAUGCCGUGUUACUACUCCUUCAGCAAAAGUUACUCUGCACAGGGAAUUUCCAGCAGAAGAAAUUGAAACAGAUGGAACUGAUAUUAUUUAUGAUAUGAAGAAGGGUUUUGUCUACCAGCAUCCUACUUUUGAUCAUAAAGGUAUUGUCUACUGCAAAGCAGAGUCACAGGGAGCACCUCAGAUUUCCAUCAAGUAUCACCUCCUAUAUGUGGAAGUUCCCAAGGGCCCACCUUCAGCCACAAUUGAGGCAUCAUCCAGUAGAGCAGAAGUCAGCGAUGGUGUCCAUGUGACCUGCACAGUCCUUGGGGAGCCAGAUGUAGACGUGAACUUCAGGUGGCAGUACCCAGGGCAAGAGUCUGAGAGGCCUGUGAUUAUCCAAAACUUCUGGAGACUGAUAAACAGAGGAACAAGCCAUACCACAAGAAUUUCAAAGAGUGUUCUUCUUGUUGAGGAUGUUGAAGCUGAAGAUGCUGGAAACUACAUUUGUAUAGCUCAGAACCUACAUGGCGAAACAGCAGUGGCUACUAAAGUUGAACUAAAUUGAUAGGAAAGGCUUCUGGACAUAGAAUGAACAGUAUGGUUCAAGCACAGAAUCCAUGUAAGCUAGAACUUCCAGUAAGAAUGUAUUCAGAGGAGGUGUGUGACAGUCUUCAUGUAAGCUAUUUUAUUUACAAGGCAUGUGAAAAACAACUUACUCUGAGCAUAGCAGGAAGCUGUUCCAUAUGUGCAUACUUCAAUGUGUCUCAGCCUGCGUUCAACUAGAAUUCCUAAAGCUUGCUUCUGGUGAAGUAAGCGCUUUGAUUCACAUGUUAAUUCAAACUUCUGAGCAGAUGGGUAUGGUGCUAGUUUGACUAGUGAUGUCUAGAACCUAAACUAACGUGACCCUUCUGAUAAGCAUCCAUGGUAAAUACUGAAAUGAAAUGGCUCCACCUGUCUCCUGAAAUAGGCUUCACAGAGAAUGCCUGCCAGCUACCUGUCAUAGUACUGGCCUCUGGAAACACAGUAGUGACCAAAAAAAGGUAAAUACAGCAACCACUGGGACCAACGUUGAAGGUGUAAGAGGCAGUUUCUUGUUAAUCUUUCUCCUUGAUAUUAAAAGGUAUCAAGAAUGUUACACUGGUACUAGUAAUAUCUAAGAGAGAGAUCUUAGUACCACCUUUUUAAAGUAAGUUUUCUUCCAGGCAAGACUUCUGUCUAAUCAGAGUAAUUUUAACAAUGCCUGAGCUUCUGCAUGAUGCUGUGCAAUGCUAAAAUGGAAUGAAGACAUGUCCACAACCACAGAUUUCCUUUUGAACUACAGGAGUUCUGCCAACUCCUUAAAUUUCAAAGUGCUUUUGAGCCUUUGAUAAUUGAUUUCCUUUAAAAUAUCUGGCAAGUGGGAGACAGUGUCACCUGCUCAGACUUGUUCAACAGCAUAAUGGUUCUGUGUGGCAGCAUCACUUCCUCUGUUGCAGUCUGGCAGAAGAGGACAAGGUGAUGUAAAUCCGUUGCGGCAUCAUUGUCUGGGUAGUCACCCUCAGGUUUUGUGGUUAUGUGUCCCCAUCACAUGCAGUUCUCGGGACUGAAUAACUCCAGUAGCACUGCCUUUAAGGAAGAACUUCUGGUGUGGUUCUGUUUUGGUUUUUCCCCUAGCAAGCACUGUAAACUGUGAGAAUUGUUACAUAUUUUACAUCAUUCUUAUUUUACCCAAAGCUUCCUGGGCAAGCCUGAUUCUUUUCAUGUUGAUGUUGUUACAUGUUUUCACAUAAAUGAACAGUGACACAGGGUAAGAGAAUGAAGCCUGGGAAAUUAAAGUGACUUGUCCACAUCACAUGCCUGGAGCUGCCGGUAUUGUUAUUUCUGUUUCCUCAGUUACUACUUUGCUACAGCAGAGAAGAAACAAUGGAAAGAAGGUAUUUGAUUCUUAAGGGUUCAGUGGUUAUUGCAGCUUUCUGAUGACCUUUUUAACUCCAGCUCAGUCCUGAAUUAUUUCCUGGCUGUCAGGCAGCUACAGGUUUAAAGAUUAGUGGUUACUUACUGUCUGCAAGGAAUUUCCUGCAUGAAUUGCACAGUACCAGUUUACAUACAAGUGGCUUUGGUGCUUGUAAUGAGAAACUUAAAGCCUUGGUUAGCAUAAGGAAAUAAUUCACUUACACUGUAUUUGCUGUAAAAUUUCAACCCAUGAAAAGACCUUUAAUGUAAAGUAUCUAGGGGAGGUAAGCCAUGUUCUGACUCAUUUGAAUGGCAACAAACCACUUGGUACAGAUAGAAGUGUCACUGUUAACUUCCUCUGAAGCUGAACUAGCAGUUCCAACUCUAACAGUAAGGUUGAGUGUCUGAAGAAAAUCACUCAAUUGCUUGAGCAGCAGUAGACCUUUGGCAGAUAUUUGAGCAGUCUUGUAGCUUUUAGUUGAAGUUUAUGCUAAAGAAAUUGCCAAGAAAAGUCCCUGAAUCAAAGCCUUUGCUAACACAUGGCAUUUAGUUAAAACUUGAAAAGUUAAUAUUGCAACAGAACAACACUGCAGCAGUGCUUACAGAUGAACAGAAUUAUGUAAUUCUUUUGGACCAACAGGACAGACACCAAACAGGUAUUUCUGUAAUCUGAUUUCUAUACAUAAGGAUUCUUCAUUUUCCUUGAAAGCAUGUAGGAUUUUGCAUGGAAGAAGUAUGGAGGUGAGGAGGCUCCUGUAUUCUGCAGGGAAACUAUUGACAAAUGAACAGUCAUUGUAUUAUUUACUAUACCAUACUUACUUUUCUGUGCUGGUAGCCUGGAAAAGCUUGCCCCUCUGUGUUACGUGAAGGGGUUAUACUAGAUUUGAACUUAACAUACCUGUGUGCUCUCCUCGCAUGUUUCCAGGUACUAACAACGUAACUAAGAUGAUAAAGUUCUUACCAGGGGAUAGACAACUGUUUUUGUGACAUGAGCUAUUAGACUGCUAAAGUCAA